UACGUAGGGGGCAAGCGUUGUCCGGAAUUACUGGGCGUAAAGAGAGCGUAGGCGGCACUACAAGUCUCAUGUGAAAUACCCGGGCUUAACUUGGGGGUUGCAUGGGAAACUGUAGAGCUUGAGUACAGGAGAGGCAAGCGGAAUUCCUAGUGUAGCGGUGAAAUGCAUAGAUAUUAGGAGGAACACCAGUGGCGAAGGCGGCUUGCUGGACUGAAACUGACGCUGAGGCUCGAAAGCGUGGGGAGCAAACAGG
rnacentral:rRNA from 1 species